rnacentral:tRNA from 1 species
UGGCUCAGAGGUUAAAGCGUCUGCCUCCAAUGCAGGAAACUCAGGUUCAAUCCCUGG